rnacentral:rRNA from 1 species
AAUACGGAGGGUCCAAGCGUUAUCCGGAAUCAUUGGGUUUAAAGGGUCCGUAGGCGGGCUAAUAAGUCAGAGGUGAAAGUUUGCAGCUCAACUGUAAAAUUGCCUUUGAUACUGUUAGUCUUGAGUUAUAGUGAAGUGGUUAGAAUAAGUGGUGUAGCGGUGAAAUGCAUAGAUAUCACUUAGAAUACCGAUUGCGAAGGCAGAUCACUAACUGUAUACUGACGCUGAGGGACGAAAGCAUGGGUAGCGAACGGGAUUAGAUACCCCGGUAGUCCAUGCUGUAAUCGAUGGAUACUAGCUGUUGGCUUCGGUCAGUGGCUAAGCGAAAGUGAUAAGUAUCCCACCUGGGGAGUACGUUCGCAAGAAUGAAACUCAAAGGAAUUGACGGGGGCCCGCACAAGCGGUGGAGCAUGUGGUUUAAUUCGAUGAUACGCGAGGAACCUUACCAGGGCUUAAAUGGGAGAUGACAGGGGCAGAGACGCCUUUUUCUUCGGACAUCUUUCAAGGUGCUGCAUGGUUGUCGUCAGCUCGUGCCGUGAGGUGUCAGGUUAAGUCCUAUAACGAGCGCAACCCCUACCGUUAGUUGCCAGCGAUUCAAGUCGGGGACUCUAACGGGACUGCCGGUGCAAACCGUGAGGAAGGUGGGGACGACGUCAAAUCAUCACGGCCCUUACGUCCUGGGCUACACACGUGCUACAAUGGUCGGUACAGAGGGAAGCUACCCCGCAAGGGGAUGCGGAUCUAUAAAACCGAUCUCAGUUCGGAUCGGGGUCUGCAACUCGACCCCGUGAAGCUGGAAUCGCUAGUAAUCGGAUAUCAGCCAUGAUCCGGUGAAUACGUUCCCGGGCCUUGUACACACCGCCCGUCAAGCCAUGGAAGCUGGGGGUGCCUGAAGUCCGUCACCGCAAGGAGCGGCCUAGGGCAAGACUAGU